rnacentral:RNase_P_RNA from 1 species
CCAGUUGGCCGGGCAGCCGCGCUUUGCAUUGUCGAAAGACCGCAGGGUGAGGAAAGUCCGGGCUCCACGGAAACACGGCGCCGGAUAACGUCCGGCGGGGGCGACCCCAGGGAAAGUGCCACAGAGAACGAACCGCCCGGCUUGCCGGGUAAGGGUGAAAAGGUGGGGUAAGAGCCCACCGCGGAUCUGGCGACAGAGACGGCAUGGCAAACCCCGCCGGGAGCAAGACCGAAUAGGGAUGGCGCGCAUGCGCAAGCAUCAGGCCUGUUUCCGGGCCAGCCAUCCGGGUGGGUUGCGAGAGGCGGCGCGCAAGCGUCGUCCCAGAUGAAUGGCUGCCACGUUCCGGGAAACCGGAGCCUUACAGAACCCGGCUUACAGGCCAACUGGCAUU